AUCGCUUCUGGGCUUUUUGGCUAAGAUCAAGUAUCUGUUCUUACCACUUUAAUAUCGGGUAGGCCCUCUAGCCGAGGACAAUAUACUAAAUGGGUUUUUGGAGCUGGAAGGUGGAAUAGUUGCUUGCUCCAUCCACUGUGCCCAUUGACCUGGCAUUGUAAUGCCUCCAAGAAGAGUGUACUCCCG
rnacentral:snRNA from 1 species